AUGCAGUCGAGCGGUAGCACGAGAGAGCUUGCUCUCUGGGUGACGAGCGGCGGACGGGUGAGUAAUGUCUGGGAAACUGCCUGAUGGAGGGGGAUAACUACUGGAAACGGUAGCUAAUACCGCAUAACGUCUACGGACCAAAGUGGGGGACCUUCGGGCCUCACGCCAUCAGAUGUGCCCAGAUGGGAUUAGCUAGUAGGUGGGGUAAUGGCUCACCUAGGCGACGAUCCCUAGCUGGUCAGAGAGGAUGACCAGCCACACUGGAACUGAGACACGGUCCAGACUCCUACGGGAGGCAGCAGUGGGGAAUAUUGCACAAUGGGCGCAAGCCUGAUGCAGCCAUGCCGCGUGUGUGAAGAAGGCCUUAGGGUUGUAAAGCACUUUCAGCGAGGAGGAAGGGUUCAGUGUUAAUAGCACUGUUCAUUGACGUUAUUCGCAGAAGAAGCACCGGCUAACUCCGUGCCAGCAGCCGCGGUAAUACGGAGGGUGCAAGCGUUAAUCGGAAUUACUGGGCGUAGAGCGCACGCAGGCGGUUUGUUAAGUCAGAUGUGAAAUCCCCGCGCUUAACGUGGGAACUGCAUUUGAAACUGGCAAGCUAGAGUCUUGUAGAG
rnacentral:rRNA from 1 species